CAAGGUUUCCGUAGGUGAACCUGCGGAAGGAUCAUUGUCGAAACCUGCCCAGCAGAUUGACUAGCGAACGCGUUCAUCAUGCGCGGGGUGGGGUGGUGUCACGACUCGUCGUGCCAUCCCUCCCCCCGCGGCCCGGGGGCAGUGCACUCGUGCGCUUCGUCCGGGCAAAAUAACGAACCCCGGCGCGUCAUGCGCCAAGGAACAUCAAUACAGUGUGUGCCCGCCCCUCGCCCGGUUCUCCGGCGUGAGGACGAGGCACCCAGUCUUUAAUACUAGAACGACUCUCGGCAACGGAUAUCUCGGCUCUCGCAUCGAUGAAGAACGUAGCGAAAUGCGAUACUUGGUGUGAAUUGCAGAAUCCCGUGAACCAUCGAGUCUUUGAACGCAAGUUGCGCCCGAAGCCUUCUGGCCGAGGGCACGUCUGCCUGGGCGUCACGCAUCGCGUCUCCCCCCAACCCACCAAGCGUGGGUUAUGGGGGAGGAGGAUGGCUUCCCGUGCCUCACCGGGCGCGGCUGGCCUAAAUAAGGAGCCUCAGGUCACGGACUGCUGCGGCGAUUGGUGAAUAAUCAACUCUAUCCGUGCAGUGCGUGGCCAUCGUGGACUCGUAGGACCCUGUGUUGUCCCCUUAUACGGACAAACCGUUGCGACCCCAGGUCAGGCGGGGCUACCCGCUGAGUUUAAGCAUA
rnacentral:rRNA from 1 species